GUCCCAUGCUCUGGAUAUAUCGGUCCCUGGCAGCGUGCCAGGCAGCCAAAUGGACAGCUCUAUAAGACUCAAGCCGACAGCGGAGAGAGUGCAACCAAACAGCCUUGGCCCAGCUUUCAGAGGAGAACGUUAUUCACCCCAACUGCUCUGCAUCUGCCUGGAUGUCUGCCAAGAUCUGUGAGCAUUACAGCGUUGCAGUCUUCUUUCCACCAAUGACCCCUCGCGCUGCUUCCAGAAGCCAAGAAAGUGGGCUUUGUCCUUGGGGAUUUAGGAGGCGGAGCGGCGCCCCCUUGAGGCCACAUGGUGGAGGCAGCGAUGAGACCUGGAGUCUAAAAUUCAGACUGAAUCACAGGAAGAAGCUAUUUACACAAGUCAAACAUGGUCCAAUCUUGGCAAUUUCAUAAGGUUCCAAUCCUUAAGGGAUCAAAACCUGGCCAACUGCUUCCACCGAGAGGUGUGCCUUUCAAUGCCAGGCUUGGAGUGUCCCUCUUUAUUUAAAAAGGAGAGGAUUCCACAGCAGAGCUUCUCAAACUCUUCCACCCAAAUCCCCUCACCACAGAGGGACAGGAGUCCUGGGCAUGUAGCCUAAAGCAGCCAGGAGAAAAAAACCUUGACCUUAAUUUUUUUAAUGAUUUCACAUGAAUCAGUGGAAUGUGUUUAUGAUAAAAUCAUCUCCUCCUGAAAUACAUGUGUAAAACUGCUGCCCCAGUUAAACGCACUUAGUCUAACCAAGCCCUAGGAUUGGCCUCUCCAGCAUGAGAAGCAUUUCCAGCACUCCAGCUCCCCAGCUCCCACUCUGGGAUCCCACCUCAGACCCUCCCACUUCCUUGCACUCUGGCCUCUCGCUCUUGACCCUGCUCCCGCCACGCUCUUUCCUCAGAGUCCAUCAGUCCUGUCUUGUCUUCACCUUGGUCUCUGCCAAGUGUGGGUCCAAGUCAUAUAUUUGGGCUGUGAUCACAGGAACCCCAAGCCCCAGACCUCCCAAAGCACCCUAUGGAGAGACCUUACCCUCCUGGACAGACCCUCUCCCCCCAGCUAGACCUCAUCCUCUGGGUAGACCCAUCUCCCCAACCAGAACUCACCCUCCUGAGUAAACCCCAUCCCCCUAGCUAGACUUCAUCCUCCUGGACAGAUCCCAUCCCCCCAGCUAGACCUCACCCUCUUGGGUAGAUGCAUCUCCCCAACCAGAACUCUCCUGGGUAGACCCCUUCUACCCAGCUAGACCUGAUCCUCUGGACAGACCCCAUCAUCCCAGCUAGACUUCUCCCUCCUGGACUGUCCCCAUCCCCCCUCCAGCCAGACCUCACCCCUCUGGGUAGACCCCAUCCCCCCAACUAGACCUCACCCUCCUGGAUGGACUCUACCCUCCUGGAGAUACCUUCCCCUCCUGGGUACAUCCCACGUGGCUACACACUCCUUCCCCUGUCAGCUUUCUCCCCCAGGGUUCUGGGCAGCAGAGUCUGUGAUAAAGGAUACUAAGUGAUUCCCCAAUACUUCCCGUUUCCAGCCUCCAGUGGGCUCUCCCUGGGGCUAACGGUUCUUUUUGCUAUUUCUCCAGGCUUUGCCUGAUGACAAGUAUACUCUGAGAGUGUCCUAAUGAUACAGAUUUUGGACCCUAUCCCAGUUCUACUGAAUCCAAGUCUCUGGGGGAGGAGUUGGGGCUCUGCAUCUGGACACCUUCCUGCAGGGUCCCUCCUGGGAGGCAAGCCCGGGGAGCACCGCUGAGGCUCGCCUCAGUGCCCAUCCUAGACCUUCAGCAGCUAGCAGAGGAUGUCCCCACCAUCCCUCAGCCCACACUCCCACUGUCGCCCCAGCCAGGCUUGGCACUGCCUCCUUUCUCAGAAGAUUAAGACCAUCUGCUGUUUCCCAAGUUUCCCACCCUCCACCCUAAAAAUUUCUCCGUUUCCCAGUCUUUCCUCGUCUCUCAGAAAAUAAACAUCUUCCCAGGCUGCCUCCCCAGUGGGUCUGCACUCCUUGCUGUCUUCCCAGCACCUGCCCUUCCAGCCCGCCCUCUGUGUGUCCAGUGUUUCCCUCACCAAAGGACUCGCUUUGUUUUUCAAAUUGGAGGUUUUGUCUUCUCCCUAAAAACCAAAACAUCUCCCUGAGAAGUAACUCCCUCAAGCUACUGAUACGGAAGGGGGGCGGGGAAGUGCUGGGAAGGGAAGGGUGUGGUCCCUGGCUAGGGCUCCACCCCCGGGCCUGUGCCCACAGACCUAGGUGAGGACAGGCAUUUCUGUUUUCGUGCUUAAAUGUUGGAUUUCCCAAGACUACCCUGGCCUACCACACCCUCAUUCUGUGCCUGUAAAAAAACCUGAGAGCUUAGCAGGCACGCACACAAGCCUCUGGACGUCAAGAGGAACACACCGGUGUAAGAGCAGACUGAUAGUGGCCCACGGCAGGCUGGCAGGCCAUCGACAGGCAGAACCACUCAGUGCAGCUGGAGGACAGCCUGGCCACGGAGCGGUCCGACUUCAGAGGGGAAAACCACCUCCCCACUCCGUCUCCCUUCUGGCUCCCCCAUCUGAGAGCUACUUCCACUCAAUAAAAC
rnacentral:lncRNA from 1 species